UGUUUUCUCUUUACUUUUUUAUGAAAUCUUCUCAUCUUUACUUGCAGAGCAAAAUAUUCACACUAUUAGUUCCAGCUUCAGUUCAUCACUCUAACUCCUGUCUGCUACUUUCUGUCAGUGGAUGAAGGGUGCUUGGGUCAAUCAAGAGCAAAAUCUAUAUGUUCGUUCCUACAAGAGCUCAAUGAUGCUGUGAAAGCCAAGUAUGUUGAGGAGUCUCCAGCAACAAUGAUAGAUACAAACCCUUCAUUCUUUUCCCAGUUCACUGUUAUCAUUGCUACCCACGUGUGUUUUCGUAUACUCUCAACAUAAGCUGCAAAAUCAGCGAUUAAUAUGCUGGUGCUUUCUCUGUAGAUUUUUUUGUUGAAUGAAUACUUGUGAUUUCUGUGAAGCCAAAAGAUCAAGUGAUUAAAAUA